rnacentral:rRNA from 1 species
UCGUGUGAACAGCCGUUGCACACGAGUCAGUGGAUCCUAAGCCCUAGGAGAAAUCCGAUGCAAACNGCNAUGGGAAANGCACUGNCUUUGAGAGACNGAGNCCCAUUGAUCGGGCGAAAGGGAAUCCGGUUCCUAUUCCGGAACCCGGCAGCGGAACCGUUGUUUGUCGGGCCCUCACAAGGGGUUCGUCAGGGCAACCUAAAAGGGCCCGGAGACGCCGUCGGGGGCCCCGGAAAGAGUUUUCUUUUCUGCAUGAGCGUUCGAGUUCCCUGGAAUCCUCUCGCAGGGAGAUAGGGUUUGGAACGCGAAGAGCACCGCAGUUGCGGCGGUGCGCGGGAAUUCCCGACGGACCUUGAAAAUCCGGGAGAGGGCCACGUGGAGGYGUCGCUCCGYCUYGUACCCAYAUCCGCAGCAGGUCUCCCAGCAGAAGAGCCUCC